rnacentral:rRNA from 1 species
UUUGCGUGCUUUUACACAUGCAAGUCGAGCGGACAGAUGGGAGCUUGCUCCCUGAUGUUAGCGGCGGACGGGUGAGUAACACGUGGGUAACCUGCCUGUAAGACUGGGAUAACUCCGGGAAACCGGGGCUAAUACCGGAUGGUUGUUUGAACCGCAUGGUUCAAACAUAAAAGGUGGCUUCGGCUACCACUUACAGAUGGACCCGCGGCGCAUUAGCUAGUUGGUGAGGUAACGGCUCACCAAGGCAACGAUGCGUAGCCGACCUGAGAGGGUGAUCGGCCACACUGGGACUGAGACACGGCCCAGACUCCUACGGGAGGCAGCAGUAGGGAAUCUUCCGCAAUGGACGAAAGUCUGACGGAGCAACGCCGCGUGAGUGAUGAAGGUUUUCGGAUCGUAAAGCUCUGUUGUUAGGGAAGAACAAGUACCGUCGAAUAGGGCGUACUGACGACUUGCCAAC